rnacentral:lncRNA from 1 species
GCGAGUGGCGGCGGCGGCGGCGGCGGCGGCGGCGGCGGAGCCUUCGGGGGCGUGCGUGCGUGUGUGAGUGCGCGCCAGCGAGCGUGAGUGUGUGUGUGCGCCCCGGGCGCGGGCAGGGCAGCACUCCGAACGCGGCGGGAGCGGCGCGAGCCGGGCGGCCGCGUCGUCACUCCGGCAAGAGAGGCGGCGGCGGCGGCAGCCGGGGCCGGGGCUGGGGCAGCGGCGGCCGCGCCGGGCAUGGAGCUGGCAAGCCCGCGCUGAGGCAGGACCCGCCUGUUAGCAGCCAGCGAGAGGCUCUCCGCGGUCCGGCGCGCGGGCUCCCCGGCCAGAGCCAGGCAAUGAAAAGAAAGAGAAAAUGGGAGUGA